AAAAUUGGUUUUAUAGGACAAAACCACCACUAAUAGAGCAUAUUAAAUUAUAGAUAAUCUGGGAGGGGAAAAGUUGAAUGGCCAUCCUGAAGAAUAACUUUACCCUCUACAAAAGGACCUAUUUUGGAAGCUGAUUGACAUUGAUAGACAAAUUGUACCUGUCAAUGUUAACAGUAAAUAACAAGUUUCUAGUACAAUUUGUAUUUGCGUGAUUAUUUGACCCAAGCCAAGGUGUGGAUUGGCCAAUUAUAAAUGAAAUUGAUUUUAUAAGUGGGAAAUUUCAAUUCCCAGUUAGCUUUAAUCCGCGAUGAUGUCGAAUACUUUUUUCAGGUCUUUCAGCCUGAUAUACUACAUAUCCUGUGUCUUCGGGACGCUGCCAUUCCUUUACGUCAAGACGAAACGCACCUUUAAACUGUCGAAAGCACGUCUCGCCUAUACAGUUUUCAUGAUAGUUUUUUGCCUUGCGCACGGUAUAGUAACGCCGCACAUGGUUGUAGAAAGUGAUGUCGUGCCGGACAAGCCGAUUCCCAGACCGGAGCCCACUUCUAACAUAAUUUGUAUGUAACGAGUAAUGUGACUAUUAAGAACAUUGAAUUGGUUCGUCAUUGCAACAGAAAGCUCUGUGAUCUACUCCAAGAUCUUAACGAUAUCUUCAGUUUGCACCUGCUGAGCAUCAUUACUGGCUGUUUUUUAAAAAUUCUCUUUAACAUUUAUCUUGUGAUAUUCAGCUGGUUUUUCUCUAGCCAAGGCACCAUCUUCCUGAUAAAUACAAUCCUCUGGGGCUUCUUUUAUUUUUCAAAAUUCAUUGUUACAACUCUUGUCUCAUGCGUUGUUGCUAAAGAGGCUGGUAGGACAAGGUUUAUACUUUGUUCAAUUUCAAACUGCAGUUUUAAUCUAGAAAUAAAAGAGGAGCUCGAUACUUUUCUCCGUAAUACAACAGAUAGAAACUUUAAGUUUACAGCUUGUGGCCUACUAACGAUAAAUCCAAAGUUAAUCACAUCUGCUAUUGCAGCAUGUACAACCUAUUUGGUUAUAUUGGUUCAGUUUAGACCAGUGGCUUAAGAAAAAAUAAAUACA